AUUGAACGCUGGCGGCAGGCCUAACACAUGCAAGUCGAGCGGAUGAGUGGAGCUUGCUCCAUGAUUCAGCGGCGGACGGGUGAGUAAUGCCUAGGAAUCUGCCUGGUAGUGGGGGACAACGUUUCGAAAGGAACGCUAAUACCGCAUACGUCCUACGGGAGAAAGCAGGGGACCUUCGGGCCUUGCGCUAUCAGAUGAGCCUAGGUCGGAUUAGCUAGUAGGUGAGGUAAUGGCUCACCUAGGCGACGAUCCGUAACUGGUCUGAGAGGAUGAUCAGUCACACUGGAACUGAGACACGGUCCAGACUCCUACGGGAGGCAGCAGUGGGGAAUAUUGGACAAUGGGCGAAAGCCUGAUCCAGCCAUGUCGCGUGUGUGAAGAAGGUCUUCGGAUUGUAAAGCACUUUAAGUUGGGAGGAAGGGCAGUAAGUUAAUACCUUGCUGUUUUGACGUUACCGACAGAAUAAGCACCGGCUAACUCUGUGCCAGCCGCCGCAGUAAAAC
rnacentral:rRNA from 1 species